rnacentral:rRNA from 1 species
GUGCCAGCAGCCGCGGUAAGACGAACCGUGCGAACGUUGUUCGGAAUCACUGGGCUUAAAGGGCGCGUAGGCGGGCUGUCAAGUCUGGGGUGAAAUCCCACGGCUCAACCGUGGAACUGCCUCGGAUACUGACGGCCUCGAGGGGGGUAGGGGCGUGCGGAACUGUGGGUGGAGCGGUGAAAUGCGUUGAUAUCCACAGGAACUCCGGUGGCGAAGGCGGCACGCUGGACCUCAUCUGACGCUGAGGCGCGAAAGCCAGGGGAGCAAACGGGAUUAGAUACCCGGGUAGUCC